CCCCACCCAGCCUGGACAGACAGUCGACAGAGACCAUCUCAUCUCAACCCUUCUCUCUCUCUCUACACCUCUCUCUCCCUCUCUCUCUCUCCCUCUCUCUCUCCCUCUAUCUCUCCCUCUCUCUCUCCCUCUCUCUCUCCCUCUAUCUCUCCCUCUAUCACUCCCUCUAUCUCUCCCUCUCUCUCAUUCUCCCUCUAUCACUCCCUCUCUCUCUCUCUCCCUCUCUCUCUUUUCUCCCUCUCUCUCUCACUCCCUCUCUCUCAUUCUCCCUCUAUCACUCCCUCUCUCUCUCUCUCCCUCUCUCUCUUUUCUCCCUCUCUCUCUCACUCCCUCUCUCACUCCCUCUCUCUCACUCCCUCCCUCUAUCUCUCCUUCUCUCUUUUCUCUCUCUCACUCCCUCUCUCACUCCCUCCCUCUCUCUCUCUCCCUCUCUCUCUCUCUCUAUCUCUCUCUCUCUCUAAAGCACAGGAGUCCUUGAGUCCACAUCCUUUUCUAUCCCAGGACUGUCUGUUCACACUGUACUGUUUACCACCUAUACACACACACACACACACACACACAUCACACCUACAGCCCCUAUACACACACACAGCACACACACACAUCACACCUACAGCCCCUAUACACACACACAGCACACACACACCACUCCACAUCACACACACACACACACACACACACACACACAUCACACCUACAGCCCCUAUACACACACACAGCACACACACCACUCCACAUCACACACACACACACACACACAUCACACCUACAGCCCCUAUACACACACACACACACACACACACACACAUCACACCUACAGCCCCUAUACACACACACAGCACACACACCACUCCACAUUACACACACACACACACACACACACAUCACACCUACAGCCCCUAUACACACACACACACACACACACACACACAUCACACCUACAGCCCCUAUACACACACACAGCACACACACCACUCCACAUUACACACACACACACACACACACACAUCACACCUACAGCCCCUAUACACACACACACACACACACACACACACAUCACACCUACAGCCCCUAUACACACACACAGCACACACACCACUCCACAUUACACACACACACACACACACACACAUCACACCUACAGCCCCUAUACACACACACACACACACACACACACACAUCACACCUACAGCCCCUAUACACACACACAGCACACACACCACUCCACAUUACACACACACACACACACACACACAUCACACCUACAGCCCCUAUACACACACACAGCACACACACCACUCCACAUCACACACACACACACACACACACACAUCACACCUACAGCCCCUAUACACAAACACAUCACACACACCACUCCACAUUACACACACACACACACACACACACACACACACACACAUCACACAUACAGCCCCUAUACACGCACACACACACACACACACACACACAUCACACCUACAGCCCCUAUACACACACACAGCACACACACCACUCCACAUUACACACACACACACACACACACAUCACACCUACAGCCCCUAUACACAAACACAUCACACACACCACUCCACAUUACACACACACACACACACACACACACACACACACACACACACACAUCACACAUACAGCCCCUAUAUACACACACACAGCACACACACCACUCCACAUUACACACACACACACACACACACACACACACACACACACAUCACACAUACAGCCCCUAUACACACACACAGCACACACACCACUCCACAUCACACACACACAUACACACACACAUCACACAUACAGCCCCUAUAUACACACACACAGCACACACACCACUCCACAUUACACACACACACACACACACAUCACACAUACAGCCCCUAUACACACACAGCACACACACCACUCCACAUCACACCUACAGCCCCUAUACACACACACAGCACACACAGCACACACACACACACACCACUCCACACUACAUACACACACACACACAUCACCUUUGCACAAACACAGCACACACACCACCUCACACUACAUACAUUCACACAGCACCUGUACACAUACACAUACACUAUACACAUAUAUACAGUACACACACACACACAACAGUACACACUACACACACACACACACACACACACACACAAACACAACACAGCCCCGGAUUGUCUGUUCACCCUUUACUCAUCAUUCUUUGUAUGUGUGUGUGUGUGGUGUGAUAUGGGAGACCUUUGUUGCUAUUGCUGGAUUUCCAGAG
rnacentral:lncRNA from 1 species